rnacentral:rRNA from 1 species
GGGGGGWWYYYUGACCGARCAMCGCCGCGUGAGUGAAGAAGGUUUUCGGAUCGUAAAGCUCUGUUGUAAGAGAAGAACGAGUGUGAGAGUGGAAAGUUCACACUGUGGCGGUAUCUUACCAGAAAGGGACGGCUAACUACGUGCCAGCAGCCGCGGUAAUACGUAGGUCCCGAGCGUUAUCCGGAUUUAUUGGGCGUAAAGCGAGCGCAGGCGGUUWKAWAAGUCUGAAGUUAAAGGCUGUGGCUUAACCAUAGUACGCUUUGGAAACUGUUUAACUUGAGUGCAAGAGGGGAGAGUGGAAUUCCCAUGUGUAGCGGUGAAAUGCGUAGAUAUAUGGAGGAACACC